AGGGCACACAGGGGAUGCCUUGGCUCUCAGAGGCGAUGAAGGACGUAGUAAGUUGCGAUAAGUUGUGGGGAUUGGCUAACACGAAUUGAUCCGCAAAUUUCCGAAUGGGGAAACCCACAUUGGUAAACCCAGUGUAUUUUUAGUUUGUAAUGAAUUAAGAAAGCGAACUUAGUGAACUGAAACAUCUAAGUAACUAAAGGAAAAGAGAACAAGUUAGUUAUUUCGUGAGUAGUGGCGAGCGAAAACGAAACAGCCCAAACCAUCGUUUUUAUAGCGGUGGGGUUAUAGGACUUCGAUAUAGAAAAGAAAAUAGAAUUUAAAUGUAGAUGGAAAGUUACAGCCAUAGAAGGUGAAAGUCCUGUCAAAGUAUUGUUUUCUUUUUUUAGAAGUAUCCUGAGUAGGUCGAUACUGGAGAAAUAUUGACUGAAUUUGCCAGCACCAUCUGGUAAGGCUAAAUACUACUGAGAGACCGAUAGUGAACUAGUACCGUGAGGGAAAGGUGAAAAGAACCCUGAACAAGGGUGUGAAAUAGACCUGAAACUGUGUGUUUACAAGCGGUCGAAGCUCCUUCGUGGAGCGACGGCGUGCCUUUUGUAUAAUGAGCCUACGAGUUAGUCUUUGCUGGCGAGGUUAAUUUCUUUAAAGAAAGUAGCCGUAGUGAAAACAAGUCUUAAAAGGGCGUAUAGUCAGUGGAGCUAGACGCGAAACUUAGUGAUCUACCCAUGGCCAGGUUGAAGCUUUGGCAAAACAAAGUGGAGGACCGAACCUGUAACAGUUGAAAAUGUUUAGGAUGAGCUGUGGGUAGGAGCGAAAGACUAAUCAAACUAAGAGAUAGCUCGUACUCUUCGAAAUGCUUUUAGGAGCAGCCUCAAGAUAGACUUAUGGAGGUAGAGCUACCGAUUGAAUGGGGGGGACUUGUGUCUUACCUCAUUCUGACGAACUCCGAAUGCCAUUAAGUUGUUUCUUGGGAGUGAGGGCUAGGGCGCUAAGGUCAUAGUCCGAGAGGGAAAGAACCCAGAUCAUCAGCUAAGGUCCCUAAGUAUGAACUAAGUUGAACUAAGGAAGUCUGAUCACUUAGACAGCCAGGAUGUUGGCUUGGAAGCAGCCAUUCGUUUAAAGAGUGCGUAACAGCUCACUGGUCAAGUGGUUAGGUACCGAUAAUAAUCGGGCAUUAAGUUCAUCACCGAAGCUAUGGAUCCUUUAUUAUUGUUAUUGUUAUAACUAAUGGUAAUAGUAUUAGGGGGUGGUAGGAGAGCAUUCUAAAUGAGUUGAAGUUUUGAAGUGAUUCAGGAUUAGAUUUUUUAGAAGAGAAAAUGUAGGCAUAAGUAACGAUGAUGAUGGUGAAAAUCCAUUACACCGAAAGACUAAGGUUUCCACGGCAAUGCUGGUCAUCCGUGGGUGAGUCGGCUCCUAAGUUGUAGCCGAAAGGCGAAGGCGAUGGGAAAUCGUUUAAUAUUACGAUACUGGUUUAUUGUAGAGAUGGGGAGACAAAGAAGUGAAAGACUUGCCUCGGGACGAAUCGAGGUUGAAAUCUCUAGGUAUAGGUAAGUAGGUAAAUCCGCUUACCUGCUGAAGGAUGAUAGUACUGUGGUCUCAAUAGAGAUUGCAGAUAAUAGUCCUAUAUCAUGCUUUCAAGAAAAUCCUCUAAUCGUUACGCAAUAGACCAACCGUACCGCAAACCGACACAGGUAGUUAGGGAGAGUAUCCUAAGGUGUACGAGUGAUUUAUGGCUAAGGAACUAGGCAAAAUAGCCCUGUAACUUCGGGAGAAGGGGUGCCUUUUUAUAUGCUUGUGUAAACUUGUGUAUAAAAAGGUCGCAGAGAAUAGACCUGGGCGACUGUUUAGCAAAAACACAGGACUUUGCGAAAUCGAAAGAUGAUGUAUAAGGUCUGACACCUGCCCGGUGCUGGAAGGUUAAUUGGAUCUGUCAUAUUCUUUUUUUAAGAAUAGAAGCGGAGAAGAGAAGCCCUAGUAAACGGCGGCCGUAACCUUAACGGUCCUAAGGUAGCGAAAUUCCUUGUCGGGUAAGUUCCGACCUGCACGAAUGGUGUAACGAUCUGGGUACUGUCUCAGCCAUAAGCUCGGUGAAAUUGUAGUAGCGGUGAAGAUGCCGCUUACCCGCAACGGGACGAAAAGACCCCGUGAACCUUUACUAUAGCUUCGUAUUGGUAUUUGAUUAGUAUUGUGCAGAAUAGGUGGGAGACGUUGAAUUAGUAUCGCCAGAUAUUAAGGAGUCAACUUUGAGAUACCACCCUAUACGGAUUGAAUAUCUAACCUAAUGAUGUUGGGGACAGUGCGUGGUGGGUAGUUUGACUGGGAAGGUCGCCUCCUAAAGAGUAACGGAGGCUCUCAAAGGUACCCUCAAUACGGUCGGUAAUCGUAUGUAGAGUGUAAUAGCAUAAGGGUGCUUGACUGCGAGACCUACAAGUCGAGCAGGAUCGAAAGAUGGAUAUAGUGAUCCGGUGAUUCCAUAUGGGAGGGUCAUCGCUCAAAGAAUAAAAGGUACUCCGGGGAUAACAGGCUUAUCUCCCCCAAGAGAUCAUAUCGACGGGGAGGUUUGGCACCUCGAUGUCGGCUCGUCACAUCCUGGAGGAGUAGAAAAUUCCAAGGGUUGGGCUGUUCGCCCAUUAAAGUGGCACGCGAGCUGGGUUCAGAACGUCGUAAGACAGUUCGGUCUCUAUCUGUUGUGGGCGUUGGAAACUUGAGGAGGGCUGACCUUAGUACGAAAGGACUGGGUUGGAUAAACCGCUGGUGUGCCAGUUGUGAUGUCAGUUGCAUCGCUGGGUAGCUAUGUUUAGUGAGAUAAGCGCUGAAAGCAUAUAAAGCGCGAAACUUUCUUCAAGAUAAGGUUUCCUUAUUAGGAUGGUUAUAGAUUAUGACCUUGAUAGGCUGUAUGUGUAAAGCUAGUAAUAGCAAAGCAGAGCAGUACUAAUAAUCCGAAUACUUCUUAC
rnacentral:rRNA from 1 species